AUACCCGAGUGGAGAAACCCAGUGUGAUUCGUCGCACUAUCAUUAACUGAAUCCAUAGGUUAAUGAGGCGGAGCGGGGGAACUGAAACAUCUAAGUUCGCCGAGUAAAAUAGGUCAACCGAGAUUCCCCCAGUAGCGGCGAGGGAGCGGGGAGGAGCGCAGAGCCUGAGUCAGCAUGUGUGUUAGUGGAGGCGUCUGGAAAGGUGCGCGAUACAGGGUGACGGCCCCGUGCACAAAGGCGCAUGUGCUGUG
rnacentral:rRNA from 1 species